rnacentral:rRNA from 1 species
UACGUAGGAGGCGAGCGUUAUCCGGAUUUACUGGGCGUAAAGCGCGUGCAGGCGGUCUGGUAAGUUGGAUGUGAAAGCUCCUGGCUCAACCGGGAGAGGUCGUUCAAUACUGCCAGACUCGAGGACGGUAGAGGAGAGUGGAAUUCCCGGUGUAGUGGUGAAAUGCGUAGAUAUCGGGAGGAACACCAGUGGCGAAGCGGACUCUCUGGGCCGUUCCUGGACGCUAAGACGCGAAAGCGUGGGUAGCGAACGGG